rnacentral:rRNA from 1 species
GAUGAACGCUGGCGGCGUGCCUAAUACAUGCAAGUCGAGCGAACGGACGAGAAGCUUGCUUCUCUGAUGUUAGCGGCGGACGGGUGAGUAACACGUGGAUAACCUACCUAUAAGACUGGGAUAACUUCGGGAAACCGGAGCUAAUACCGGAUAAUAUUUUGAACCGCAUGGUUCAAAAGUGAAAGACGGUCUUGCUGUCACUUAUAGAUGGAUCCGCGCUGCAUUAGCUAGUUGGUAAGGUAACGGCUUACCAAGGCAACGAGGCAUAGCCGACCUGAGAGGGUGAUCGGCCACACUGGAACUGAGACACGGUCCAGACUCCUACGGGAGGCAGCAGUAGGGAAUCGUCCGCAAUGGGCGAAAGCCUGACGGAGCAACGCCGCGUGAGUGAUGAAGGUCUUCGGAUCGUAAAACUCUGUUAUUAGGGAAGAACAUAUGUGUAAGUAACUGUGCACAUCUUGACGGUACCUAAUCAGAAAGCCACGGCUAACUACGUG